rnacentral:rRNA from 1 species
UAGGGAAUCUUCCACAAUGGACGCAAGUCUGAUGGAGCAACGCCGCGUGAGUGAAGAAGGUCUUCGGAUCGUAAAACUCUGUUGUUAGAGAAGAACACGAGUGAGAGUAACUGUUCAUUCGAUGACGGUAUCUAACCAGCAAGCCACGGCUAACUACGUGCCAC